UAUAUAUAACAAUAUUAUUUAAAAAGGAAAC
rnacentral:piRNA from 1 species